rnacentral:sRNA from 1 species
AGGUACGUCAGGUCAACCUAACAGUAUUUGUUCAGGAGACAGUGGGGGCCCUUUGUAUUGUGGGCCUAAUAAAGACAUACUUGUUGGAACUGCAGUUGGCAACGACGUAGAUUGCAGUGGUAUGCUUCCUCAAGUGUUCACAAAUGUUGCAGCGUAUAAAGACUGGCUGGCAGACAAAUUGUGAAGCUUUUUUCUUUCUUUCUUUGAUGCAAUUACAAAAAAAAAUAAAACA